rnacentral:rRNA from 1 species
CACCGCGGUUAUACGAGGGGCCCAAGUUGAUAGCCGCCGGCGUAAAGCGUGGUUAAGAUAACAUAAGUAUUAAAGCCGAAUGCAAACUAUACUGUCAUACGACUCGAUCGAUAGAAGCUCAAUUACGAAAGUAGCUUUAUUAGUCUGACUCCACGGAAGCCAGGGCA